rnacentral:miRNA from 1 species
UUGGCCAAAAAGUUCGUUUGGGUUUUUCCAUAACAUCUUACAAAAAAUCUGAAUGAACUUUUUGGCCAA